AUUUUUUAUAUUUUGAGUAGAAGUAAAUAUUCUCGCCAAUGGGCGAGAUUUUUUAAUAUCGCUCUAAGUUAUUAGUCGAAUUAAGUCAAUAUGAGUGGAAUUUUGUGUCAUAAUGAUUAUAAACAUACACUCAUUCAUUUAUAACCUCCAAAACAUGAAUUCUGAUCGAAAUUAAACAUUCUUUUUCAUUUUG